GAAUUGAUAGCUCAGUUGGUAGAGCACUCGGCUUUUAACCGAUUGGUCCUGGGUUCGAAUCCCAGUCAAUUCA
rnacentral:tRNA from 1 species